GAGGGUAGAGCUCAGUAGUAGAGCACAUGCUUAGCCUGCGUGAGGUCCUGGGUUCAAUCCCCAGUGCCUCCA
rfam:Camelus ferus unplaced genomic scaffold scaffold2948, whole genome shotgun sequence.